rnacentral:rRNA from 1 species
UGCUUCUCUUGAGAGCGGCGGACGGGUGAGUAAUGCCUAGGAAUCUGCCUGGUAGUGGGGGAUAACGUUCGGAAACGGACGCUAAUACCGCAUACGUCCUACGGGAGAAAGCAGGGGACCUUCGGGCCUUGCGCUAUCAGAUGAGCCUAGGUCGGAUUAGCUAGUUGGUGGGGUAAUGGCUCACCAAGGCGACGAUCCGUAACUGGUCUGAGAGGAUGAUCAGUCACACUGGAACUGAGACACGGUCCAGACUCCUACGGGAGGCAGCAGUGGGGAAUAUUGGACAAUGGGCGAAAGCCUGAUCCAGCCAUGCCGCGUGUGUGAAGAAGGUCUUCGGAUUGUAAAGCACUUUAAGUUGGGAGGAAGGGUUGUAGAUUAAUACUCUGCAAUUUUGACGUUACCGACAGAAUAAGCACCGGCUAACUCUGUGCCAGCAGCCGCGGUAAUACAGAGGGUGCAAGCGUUAAUCGGAAUUACUGGGCGUAAAGCGCGCGUAGUGGUUUGUUAAGUUGGAUGUGAAAUCCCCGGGCUCAACCUGGGAACUGCAUUCAAAACUGACUGACUAGAGUAUGGUAGAGGGUGGUGGAAUUUCCUGUGUAGCGGUGAAAUGCGUUAUAUAU